rnacentral:rRNA from 1 species
AUGGGACGACGGUGUGGGCUUAUCGACCUUGAGCAGAUCGAGGAGGACGGGCGGCUGGAUCUGAUGGACAUGAGGGAGCCCGAGAUGACCUUGUGGCCGAGGCCGGGGCAGUUCGUAGAGGGGACGGGGUCACGACGGCUGGACAGAGGAGGAAGGAAGGAGAUAUUUUUCUGGGGCAGGAAGAGCAAUGCGGGAUAG